GCGCAGGCACAAGGAGAUUUUGACAUCAAGUCAAUGAUUGAACAAGAGUAUUUGCAGAUAGAAAAAAACAUGGCUGAGAGUGCUGAUGACUUUGUGGAGGACAUAACUGUGCCGCCUCUGGUAAUUCCUACCGAGGCUUCACCGUCUGUGUUGGUGGUGGAGCUGAGCAACACAAAUGAUGUGGUUAUCAGGCAAGUUGGCAUUUCUAGUUAAGCUGUGCAGUGUUGUCACGUGACCAUUCCUAGCACGGAUGCUG
rnacentral:lncRNA from 1 species